rnacentral:rRNA from 1 species
UACGUAGGGCGCAAGCGUUGUCCGGAUUCACUGGGUGUAAAGGGUGCGCAGGCGGGAAAGUAAGUUAGAGGUGAAAUCUCACAGCUCAACUGUGAAACGGCCUUUAAUACUGCUUUUCUUGAGUUAAGGAGAGGUUGAUGGAAUUCCAGGUGUAGCGGUGAAAUGCGUAGAUAUCUGGAAGAACACCGGUGGCGAAGGCGGUCAACUGGCCCUAAACUGACGCUCAGGCACGAAAGCGUGGGGAGCAAACGAGG